rnacentral:rRNA from 1 species
GAUGAACGCUGGCGGCGUGCCUAAUACAUGCAAGUCGAGCGAACAGACGAGGAGCUUGCUCCUCUGACGUUAGCGGCGGACGGGUGAGUAACACGUGGAUAACCUACCUAUAAGACUGGGAUAACUUCGGGAAACCGGAGCUAAUACCGGAUAAUAUAUUGAACCGCAUGGUUCAAUAGUGAAAGACGGUUUUGCUGUCACUUAUAGAUGGAUCCGCGCCGCAUUAGCUAGUUGGUAAGGUAACGGCUUACCAAGGCAACGAUGCGUAGCCGACCUGGGAGGGUGAUCGGCCACACUGGAACUGAGACACGGUCCAGACUCCUACGGGAGGCAGCAGUAGGGAAUCUUCCGCAAUGGGCGAAAGCCUGACGGAGCAACGCCGCGUGAGUGAUGAAGGUCCUCGGAUCGUAAAACUCUGUUAUUAGGGAAGAACAAAUGUGUAAGUAACUAUGCACGUCUUGACGGUACCUAAUCAGAAAGCCACGGCUAACUACGUG